rnacentral:piRNA from 1 species
CAUUGGACUUCUAGUGACGAAAAAGCC